GACGAACGCUGGCGGCGUGCUUAACACAUGCAAGUCGAACGGACAGGCCCUGCUCUUGUUGGGUGCUCGAUUGGCGCAAGGGUGAGUAACACGUGUGUAACCUCCCCUUGACUUUGGGAUAACUUCACGAAACUGGGGCGAAUAUCCGAUAGGAGCUCCUGCUCCAUGUUGGGGAAUGGAAAGUUUCGGCGGUUGGGGAUGGACUCGCUGCUUAUCCGCUUGUUGGUGGGGUAGUGGCUUACCAAGGCUUCGACGGGUAGCCGGCCUGAGAGGGUGACCGGCCACAUUGGUACUGAGAUACGGCCCAGACGCGUACGGGCGGCAGUAGGGGGGAAUAUUGCAGAAUGGGCGGAAGCCUGAUGUAGAAACGCCGCGUGCGGGAUGACGGGCUUUGGGUGAUAAACCGAUGUCGAAGGUGACGAAGCGUGAGUGACGGUAAUGGGUAAAGAAGCAACGGCUAACUACGUG
rnacentral:rRNA from 1 species